rnacentral:tmRNA from 1 species
GGGGGCGAAUUUGGUUUCGACGGGGAUUUGGAAUCAAGAAUAGCGAGCCGUUGUCGCCAAGCAACGAUAAAAGUGGCACAAACAAUAAACGCAAACGAAAAUAAUUUCGCUUUAGCAGCUUAGUUCUGCUUCGUCAAACUUAGGAUACCCACGACCUAGGAUUUGGCGUCAACUUAGUGGGGAACCGCGCUUAGCAAAGCUUUGAGCUAAGAACGGAAAUCAUGAAGCUACUAAAACUCAUAUCUUGUCAGUAGGAGAUGAGUGGAGGGAAUGUUAAAAUACUGACUGCGCUCGGAGAAAUUCUUGUGGAAGGGUUUUCGGACGUGGGUUCGACACCCACCGCCUCCACCA